UUGGAGGGCAAGUCUGGUGCCAGCAGCCGCGGUAAUUCCAGCUCCAAUAGCGUAUAUUAAAGUUGUUGCAGUUAAAAAGCUCGUAGUUGGAUUUCGGGGUCAGUAGGCUGGUCGUGCCACAGGUAUGUACUGGUCUUACUGAUUCCUCCUUCCUGAUGAACCGUAAUGCCAUUAAUUUGGUGUUGCGGGGAAUCUGGACUGUUACUUUGAAAAAAUUAGAGUGUUUAAAGCAGGCUAACGCUUGAAUACAUUAGCAUGGAAUAAUGAAAUAGGACGAUCGAUCCUAUUUUGUUGGUUUCUAGGAUUGACGUAAUGAUUAAUAGGGAUAGUUGGGGGCAUUAGUAUUCAAUUGUCAGAGGUGAAAUUCUUGGAUUUAUUGAAGACUAACUACUGCGAAAGCAUUUGCCAAGGAUGUUUUCAUUAAUCAAGAACGAAAGUUAGGGGAUCGAAGACGAUCAGAUACCGUCGUAGUCUUAACCAUAAACUAUGCCGACUAGGGAUCGGAUGAUGUUAAUUUUUUAAUGACUCAUUCGGCGCCUUACGGGAAA
rnacentral:rRNA from 1 species